rnacentral:rRNA from 1 species
CAGCCGCCGCGGUAAUACCGGCGGCCCGAGUGGCGGUCACUCUUAUUGGGCUUAAAGCGUCCGUAGCCGGGUUGGGAAGUCCUCCGGGAAAUCUGGCCGCUUAACGGUCAGAAUGCCGGAGGAUACUCCCAGCCUAGGGAGCGGGAGAGGCCGAGGGUAUUCCCGGAGGAGGGGUGAAAUCCUAUAAUCCCGGGAGGACCACCUGUGGCGAAGGCGCUCGGCUGGAACGCGUCCGACGGUGAGGGACGAAGGCCAGGGGAGCAAACCGGAUUAGAUACCCGGGUAGUCCUGGCUGUAAACGAUGCGGACUUUGUGUCGGACAAGCUAUGAGCUUGUCCGGUGCCGGAGGGAAACCGUUAAGUCCGCCGCCUGGGGAGUACGGCCGCAAGGCUGAAACUUAAAGGAAUUGGCGGG